rnacentral:ncRNA from 2 species
AAUUUUGCAAUGUCUUGCGGUAAGGGCGUAAGCUCUGCAAGGGAAUCUGGUGUAAAACCAGAACAGUACCCGCUACUGUAAGUCGCAUGCCACAAGGUGAGGCCUUCGAUGCUCUCGGGCCUAGAUACCUUGCCUGUGGAUAGCUCCCUCGAACGAAUAGCCACUGGGGUCUUUGAGCCCUGGGAAGGCUCGAGAAGUGAAGCGACAAGUCAGGAGACCUGCCACGAGACAAUGAUGCCA